rnacentral:lncRNA from 1 species
UGGGUUUGCUCAUUUUGUCCUAGUUAGUAAAUUCGAGAAUUAUUUGCGAAUUAUUGAAAAUUCGAAUUAAACGGUCCGUUAAUUAUUCACGAAUUAUUGCCGAAUUAUUGAAAAUAUGAAUAAAAAAUUUAUAAUUUUAUUUUUAAAUAUAAAUUAUUUUAUAUUUUAUAUCUUAUAUUUUAUAUUUUAUACCGAAUCCGUUUUUUAAGCCGAAUUUUUCAACAAAUUUAAAAAUUAGAAAACGAAUUUUAUACGUAUUAUAUCUGUAUCGAAUUUUUGCCGAAUCCGAAUUAACUAUGUAUUUUGUAGGGAUAAUUUUAUAACUAUCUCUCAAAAUCUUAAAAAUAUUAUAAAUACUAUUCCAAAUGUCAAAAUAUCACAUAUACCCUUCCAAUAUAAUAAGUUAUAUGGUAUAUCGCACGAAAAUUUAAUAUAUAUAGUUGGAUUCUAUCGGAUAGAUUUUCUUCAAUAGCAUGAAUUGGGCUUCAAUACUUUAAACCAAGUUAUUGGUGCUUGUAGAUUUUUGACCAUUGGAUUAAAGGAAGUGCGGUUAGGAUGGUGUGGGACCUGUAGAGUUGAGUGUGUGGUUGAUUGAAUAUUAGUAAUCUAACGGAUGGAAAUGAUCAAAAGGAUAAAUCUAACGGUAAAAAAUUUACAAGUACCAAGUGCUUGGUAUUUUUACAAGCACCAUAGCUGGACUCCAAUAGCAUAUAUAUAUUUACUUUUUUUGUAUGCUGAAAAAUUU